rnacentral:rRNA from 1 species
CCUACGGGGGGCAGCAGUGAGGAAUAUUGGUCAAUGGCCGGAAGGCUGAACCAGCCAAGCCGCGUGAAGGACGAAGGUGCCAAGCAUUGUAAACUUCUUUUGUCAAGGGACAAAAUCAGGCUCGAGAGCCUGACCGAGGGUACUUGAAGAAAAAGCAUCGGCUAACUCCGUGCCAGCAGCCGCGGUAAUACGGAGGAUGCGAGCGUUAUCCGGAUUUAUUGGGUUUAAAGGGUGCGCAGGCGGCGAGUUAAGUCAGCGGUAAAAUUUCGGGGCUCAACCCCGACGAGCCGUUGAAACUGGCUUGC